AGUUCCCGAACCAUAACCAUCGGUAUAUCGUCUAUUUAACAAGACAGAUCUAUUACAGCAGUUAUUUGAAAACCCUAGUUUAUCUACUAAACACUUACAGGAAGGCUCCAUGAAUGCUUUUGAGCCUCCGAUGGCGGAUUCCGAAAGCCUGAUGAUUGUUUCUUUAAGAACGGAGAUUUGAGUGUAUGCUCUUUGUAGUAGCCUUCUUACUAGUUGGGCUCCAAAGGCAUCAUGAUAUGGAAUGUAUUUCUUUGGAAGAUGAAAUGAAGGCUUCUUUAGUAUGGAAUUUUGUUUUGCAUGUUGCUUAGGAGUUUGUUCUGAGGAAUGAAGUUCAUUAACAUUAUUAGGGGCAGCUGUUGCUAGCUACAUUGAUGCCUGAUACAACACUAUAUAAGGUAAAAUGUUUGUUCGACUAGUUGUUAUUAUUAUUAUUAUUAUUAUAUCAAAUGUUAUUAUGUUAACAUUUGAUAAAUGUUUGGUAAAAUACUUAAUCAACCAAGUUGGACCCUUGUGGCCCUGUAUAAAAAAGUAAAUGUUUGUAAUCUUGUAUUGAACAAUUUGGUCUCUCAAUUUGUAUUUAUUGGUAGGCCAUAUUAUAAAGCUGCCCAUAUUAAUUUACAA